rnacentral:rRNA from 1 species
GAGGAAAAGAAACCAACAGGGAUUGCCCUAGUAACGGCGAGUGAAGCGGCAACAGCUCAAAUUUGAAAUCUGGCCCUAGCGGUCCGAGUUGUAAUUUGUAGAGGAUGCUUUGGGCGAGGCGCCUUCCGAGUUCCCUGGAACGGGACGCCAGAGAGGGUGAGAGCCCCGUACGGUCGGACGCCGAGCCUCUGUAUAGCUCCUUCGACGAGUCGAGUAGUUUGGGAAUGCUGCUCUAAAUGGGAGGUAAAUUUCUUCUAAAGCUAAAUACCGGCCAGAGACCGAUAGCGCACAAGUAGAGUGAUCGAAAGAUGAAAAGCACUUUGAAAAGAGGGUUAAAUAGCACGUGAAAUUGUUGAAAGGGAAGCGUUUGCGACCAGACUUUUCCCAGGCGGAUCAUCCGGCUCUUCGCCGGUGCACUCCGUCUGGUGGAGGCCAGCAUCGGUUUCCCUAGGGGGAUAAAGGCCGGGGGAACGUAGCUCCUUCGGGAGUGUUAUAGCCUCCGGCGCAAUACCCCUCGGGGGACCGAGGAACGCGCUUCGGCAAGGAUGCUGGCGUAAUGGUCGUCAACGACCCGUCUUGAAACACGGACCAAGGAGUCGAACAUUUGUGCGAGUGUUUGGGUGUCAAACCCUCACGCGUAAUGAAAGUGAACGGAGGUGAGAGCCCUCGCGGGUGCAUCAUCGACCGAUCCUGAUGUCUUCGGAUGGAUUUGAGUAAGAGCAUAACUGUUCGGACCCGAAAGAUGGUGAACUAUGCGUGGAUAGGGUGAAGCCAGAGGAAACUCUGGUGGAGGCUCGCAGCGGUUCUGACGUGCAAAUCGAUCGUCAAAUCUGCGCAUGGGGGCGAAAGACUUAUCGAACCAUCUAGUAACUGGU